rnacentral:ncRNA from 2 species
ACGAUGAUAAUGCUUUAAGGUGCCCUUUUAUAAUCAAAAGGGAUAAUAGGGAAUCGGGUUGAAAUCCCGAGCAGCACCCACUACUGUAACUCAGACGAAAUCCGGUAUGGCCACUGCCGUGCAUACGGUGGGAAGGUAAGGAGAGUAGGAUGAUGGGAAGCCAGGAGACCUGCCUUAAAAGCAAAAAUCUC